rnacentral:rRNA from 1 species
UACGUAGGGUGCAAGCGUUGUCCGGAAUUAUUGGGCGUAAAGAGCUCGUAGGCGGUUCGUCACGUCGGCUGUGAAAUCCCGAGGCUCAACCUCGGGUCUGCAGUCGAUACGGGCGGACUGGAGUACUGCAGGGGAGACUGGAAUUCCUGGUGUAGCGGUGAAGUGCGCAGAUAUCAGGAGGAACACCGGUGGCGAAGGCGGGUCUCUGGGCAGUAACUGACGCUGAGGAGCGAAAGCGUGGGGAGCGAACAGG